UACGUAGGCAGCGAGCGUUGUUCGGAAUUACUGGGCGUAAAGAGUGUGUAGGCGGUGCUCUAAGUUCGGUGUGAAAUCUCCUGGCUUAACUGGGAGGGUGCGCCGGAAACUGGGGUGCUCGAGCGUGGGAGAGGAAAGCGGAAUUCCUGGUGUAGCGGUGAAAUGCGCAGAUAUCAGGAGGAACACCAAUGGCGAAGGCAGCACUCUGGGACGUGACUGACGCUGAGACGCGAAAGCGUGGGGAGCAAACAGG
rnacentral:rRNA from 1 species